rnacentral:rRNA from 1 species
AGAGUUUGAUCCUGGCUCAGAACGAACGCUGGCGGCAGGCCUAACACAUGCAAGUCGAGCGCACCUUCGGGUGAGCGGCGGACGGGUUAGUAACGCGUGGGAACGUGCCCAGAUCUGCGGAAUAGCCACUGGAAACGGUGAGUAAUACCUCAUACGCCCUACGGGGGAAGGAUUUAUCGGAUUUGGAUCGGCCCGCGUUAGAUUAGAUAGUUGGUGGGGUAAUGGCCUACCAAGUCUACGAUCUAUAGCUGGUUUUAGAGGAUGAUCAGCAACACUGGGACUGAGACACGGCCCAGACUCCUACGGGAGGCAGCAGUGGGGAAUCUUAGACAAUGGGCGCAAGCCUGAUCUAGCCAUGCCGCGUGAGUGAUGAAGGCCUUAGGGUCGUAAAGCUCUUUCGCCAGAGAUGAUAAUGACAGUAUCUGGUAAAGAAACCCCGGCUAACUCCGUGCCAGCAGCCGCGGUAAUACGGAGGGGGUUAGCGUUGUUCGGAAUUACUGGGCGUAAAGCGCGCGUAGGCGGACCAGAAAGUUGGGGGUGAAAUCCCGGGGCUCAACCCCGGAACUGCCUCCAAAACUCCUGGUCUAGAGUUCGAGAGAGGUGAGUGGAAUUCCGAGUGUAGAGGUGAAAUUCGUAGAUAUUCGGAGGAACACCAGUGGCGAAGGCGGCUCACUGGCUCGAUACUGACGCUGAGGUGCGAAAGUGUGGGGAGCAAACAGGAUUAGAUACCCUGGUAGUCCACACCGUAAACGAUGAAUGCCAGUCGUCGGGUAGCAUGCUGCUCGGUGACACACCUAACGGAUUAAGCAUUCCGCCUGGGGAGUACGGUCGCAAGAUUAAAACUCAAAGGAAUUGACGGGGGCCC